rnacentral:tRNA from 2 species
GCCGAUGUAGCUCAGUAGGUAGAGCAGCGCACUCGUAAUGCGCAGGUCUCCAGUUCGAAUCUGGACAUCGGCU